rnacentral:rRNA from 1 species
AUUGAACGCUGGCGGCAGGCCUAACACAUGCAAGUCGAACGAGUGGCGGACGGGUGAGUAAUGUCUGGGAAACUGCCCGAUGGAGGGGGAUAACUACUGGAAACGGUAGCUAAUACCGCAUACCAUCGGAUGUGCCCAGAUGGGAUUAGCUUGUAGGUGAGGUAACGGCUCACCUAGGCGACGAUCCGUAACUGGUCUGAGAGGAUGAUCAGUCACACUGUGACGGAGACACGGUCCCGACUCCUACGGGAGGCAGCAGGGGGGAAUAUUGGACAAUGGGUGAAAGCCGGAUCCAGCCAUGCCGCGUGUGUGAAGAAGGUCGUCGGUUUGGAAAGCACUUUAAGUUGGGAGGCGUUACCAACAGAAUAAGCACCGGCUAACUUCGUGCCAGCAGCCGCGGUAAUAC